rnacentral:sRNA from 1 species
UUUAGGAGAAUCCUAAAGAGUUAUCACUAAAUAAGUUUAUACUUUAAAACUAAAGAAUCUAGCAGAUGUGAUAUACAACAUAGAACGAACACUUGAAGAUAAACUGAAAUAAUAUGCUUUCACUUGAAUUUAAAACGUUUUAUAUGAAUAAUGCUACAUCAGCAUGUUGGAAAUGUCAUGCAAAUCCUGAGAAUCGCUGACUGAGUGUAUUCCAUGUUUUAAUAAUACCUUUAUUUCUGGAAUUCUGUACAGAAUAUUGUAUAUGCUUAUUGAAUCUAUUGUAUAUUCAUUGUAAAAUGUACAAAUACAAGUGUAUAUCUUGUUACAUAAAAGUUCAAAGCCAUAACUUGUGCAAUGCAACUAUUUCUGGUCAACUGUCUUGCGCUGCGGUCGAGAUUCGUACUCGUGACCCCCUAGAUUGAGACCAGAUUGAGAGACAAACGCUGUAACCACUAAGCCACAUAUCUAUGAAAUAAUUGACAGAACAACAACUUAAGAAGAGAAGGACUUGGAUAAUGAACUGAUUAAUGUGUUCAGCGUUGUUGGUCAUGUCCCAGAUAAAUACUAGGCAAUACUUUGCAGUUUGCAUUCAAUGGACUCAGACUGUAGGUGUCAGUACUCAAGUUGGCCUAAAACAGCUUCUAAGCAACCACGUGAUCAGCCCAACUUUGAGAAAUCUACAGUCCUACAUCUGUUGAAAUGGUACUAACUGUGUGAAGAAGGUCGUUCAGAGGACAAGAGACAUUUCUCUACAAAGAUAUUGAUUUGACUUUGAAAGCUGAACUACAAUAUCGAACUACAUUUACCUUUCUGAAAGAAAGAUGUUUAUGUCACAGACCAAAGCUAUGGGAGAGUAGUAAUAAUUAUCAAAUUAUCAAAAAUAUUUUAAUGCAUUUUAUAUUAUGAUAUAAUUCGUAUAAAAUACGAUAUGUAGUGCAAUAAUAAUAACAAUAAUCUUUUAUUAUCUUUCUAUUCAGUAUUUUACAAUUUACAAUAGAUUCCUAUAAAAUAUUUGCACUUGAUUUCUUGUAUAAAUAAUAAAACAUUUUUUCCAGCUCUGACUUUGUCUUCUUGGUUUUUCUUUGUGCUUGCUUAUUAUUGUCUUGACAAUUGAUCCUCAAAUGUCCUUAGUUGAAAGUUGAAACUU